rnacentral:rRNA from 1 species
UGAGGAAUAUUGGACAAUGGGCGCAAGCCUGAUCCAGCCAUGCCGCGUGCAGGAUGACGGUCCUAUGGAUUGUAAACUGCUUUUGUACAGGAAGAAACAGUUCUACGUGUAGAACCUUGACGGUACUGUAAGAAUAAGGAUCGGCUAACUCCGUGCCAGCAGCCGCGGUAAUACGGAGGAUCCAAGCGUUAUCCGGAAUCAUUGGGUUUAAAGGGUCCGUAGGCGGUUAGAUAAGUCAGUGGUGAAAGCCCAUCGCUCAACGGUGGAACGGCCAUUGAUACUGUCUGACUUGAAUUAUUAGGAAGUAACUAGAAUAUGUAGUGUAGCGGUGAAAUGCUUAGAGAUUACAUGGAAUACCAAUUGCGAAGGCAGGUUACUACUAAUGGAUUGACGCUGAUGGACGAAAGCGUGGGUAGCGAACAGGAUUAGAUACCCUGUAGUCCCUGAGCGGGCUGGCAAGGCGCAU